GCCCGGGUGGCGAAAUUGGUAGACGCAGGGGACUCAAAAUCCCCCGCCGCGAGGUGUGCCGGUUCGAGUCCGGCCCCGGGCACCA
rnacentral:tRNA from 1 species